UGAACGCUGGCGGCGUGCCUAAUACAUGCAAGUCGAGCGAACAGACGAGGAGCUUGCUCCUCUGACGUUAGCGGCGGACGGGUGAGUAACACAUGGAUAACCUACCUAUAAGACUGGGAUAACUUCGGGAAACCGGAGCUAAUACCGGAUAAUAUAUUGAACCGCAUGGUUCAAUAGUGAAAGACGGUUUUGCUGUCACUUAUAGAUGGAUCCGCGCCGCAUUAGCUAGUUGGUAAGGUAACGGCUUACCAAGGCAACGAUGCGUAGCCGACCUGAGAGGGUGAGGCGCCACAAUGGAACUGAGACACGGUCCACACCCCCGGGGGGGGCAAGAAGAGGGAAUUCUCCCAAAGGGGCGAACGCCUGACGGAGCCACCCCGGGUGAGUUGAGAAGGUUUUCGGCUUGUAAAACUCUUUUUAUAGGGAAAAAAAAAUGGUUAAGGAACUAUGCACGUUUUACCGUUACCAAAACAAAAAGCCCCGGCAAACUCGG
rnacentral:rRNA from 1 species